rnacentral:piRNA from 1 species
UCCACAGAAUGGGGUGCAGUGCAGUC